AGAUGACAUAGGUGUUCUUGUUUAUCAUGUGAUGGUGGAUGGUUGUGUGGUUGUCAAAAGUUUUCCUAUAUUUUUCAAUUUUUACAUGACAAUUUCCUAUGAAUUCAUAAGCUCUGCGUGUAGGAAGGAACGCGAAAGGCAACUAGCCAAGUACAAGUAGCCUACCAUCAAUUCUUUCAUAAAAAAUGGUCGUUCUACUGAAUGCUUCAUCCUAUUAGUACAGGUCACUAACCCCAGCGUGGACACACAUUGUUUUUUCCAACAUGUUUCUACAAAUAAAGACAAAGAAAGCUAUGGGAACAUAAUCGGAUACCCACAUAAUCAAGGCCAUGGGUAAUAAUCAUCAGGUUUAUUGCAGCAACUCGAAGAAUUCACAUGAAAAGAUGCAGGGCACAUACCAACAUGUGUUGUAUUUUUCUGAAUGUUUUACUCAAGCAGUAGAAGCAAUUAACUUUAGUUUAUUGCAUUAAUGUUGGAAUGUUUAUUGAAAUAUUUCCUUUAGAUUCAACAUUACUAACUGUUUGAUGCCAAAGUUAGUUGGAACUCUAACUCAAACACUGGUUCUUUUCCAGUUUCCUCACAAAAUUGGAAAGCUGCUGGAGUAAUCUAUCUAGUGUCCAUCCCCAUUUGAUUCAUUUCGUGCCAGCCGGUUGAAAGGCGUGACGAAUUCAAAUUUAGCUGCUGCGUCUGCAAGCAAGCAAUCCAAUUGGCUGUCGCUAGGUGGCGCGACUGUCUUCAGGGGACCAAAUUCGGCCAUUUUGUUCCUUGACGCAGCCGAAGUGGGAUGCCGGUCGUGACGUUUCGCAUGACGAAAAUGCAAAGAUGAUUUCAAUGCCACUUUGUCAAAUCAUCUAACUCGGACUUGAGUGCCUGUUCAUUUUGCCGAAAUGUCGUGCCUCGUGUGUCUUGCUGCCAGUACCCAGUCGUACGUCUCGUCCCAUGCAAAAGCAAAAGUCUGCUGUUGGUUUACUUGUUGCAGCGAGAUGGUGAAAGGUGUGGUGACGUCUAAUUUAACCAUUGUAUGCAGCGUGUUGUUGCAGUGUUAUCCAGAAGUAGCUGCUCAGUGUGGCAGUAUCCUGAAGCCUGAAGUUGCCAGUGAUAUCCGGGUUGCUGACUUGGAAAUUUUUCUGUUUUCAUUUGUGUCUUUUGCUCUGCCAAUGGUAUCCUGAGUUGCAGACUUUAAAUCUUUCUAUCUGUUCUCAUUUGUUCGUGUUUUUUUUUUUGCUCUACCACUGAUUUCCUAUGUUGCUGUUUUGAAAUCGUUUCAUCUGUCUUCUUUGGCGUUUUUACUUGUGCACAUGUGCAGUAUACGAUUGAGGCAACCUGUCCUAUGACAGGUUUGACUAAGUCGACAACUGCUAGAUUAAAUUCCGGCUUUCUGCACCAACAAAAUAAUAACGGCACAUGUUAUUAUCGCGGUUGGGAAAGUCACAGGCCCC